AGAAAUAAGCUCAACUAAGCAUUUACAGCCAUUUGGAAUUGCUGUGGAACACGAAGCAAGGGAGCUUGGGCAGCCCCAGGCUUGCCAAGUUGGCCACAAGCAGCCAUCUGAUCAUCCCCUCUACUGUGCCUCAAGAAAACAGUGCAUUUGGCCUCUGCCAAAAUAUUUCGAAACUCUAUCAUCUUCUCCGAACUGGUUGGUCUAAACUGGGAUCCACAAUGAGGAUUAAAUUGAAUGAGAUUUAUCUUGCAUGGAAUGCCUUGUACAAGAUCAAUAAGCCUCUUUGCAUCCUCAAAGCUGAAAACAAAACAAACAUUAAUGCAUUGACUAAAGCUUGAAAUAAAUAAACAAUUCAAACCACCUGAUUGGAAAAAGGAACGCAAUGAGGCCAUAGUACAGUGAAUGUGUUGCCCAAGUCUAAGGAGGCAAUAAUAACAAUAAUGUGCUAAAAGCAAUCACUAAGUUUAAUACACUGACAACUUGCCCACAAUGUUUCACUAAGCAAUUCUAGUACAGUCAGUGAUGAAGGAUAAAUUACUAUUGCUUGCUCUUACAAUAAAGAAACUAAUAAAAUUAGUUUGCCUCUAAUUUGUUCUGAGAAUUCUAGGGAGUAUUUGCUUGGCUCACCAAUCACCAUAUGAGAAAUUUCUUACUUUGAUAUAAAUCAAUGUAAGAUUCAAUAGCAUAAAGCAUAAAUUCAGCCAAUGAAAAAUUUCAAAGGAAAGGAACAUACAAUUUUAGGAUGUCAAUAAACCACAAAAUAGACAGUGCUUUUCUUGACCACAGCAUUUUUAGACAUUCUCAGCUAAAUCCAUAACAUUGAGGGUGAUAAAGGUCUCACAUACUAACGUACUAUAGGCUAAGAACAUAUCACACAAAUCAUUCUUGCAUUAAAUAAGUUGAACCCAGAGAGCAAUUGGGCCAGAAAAAGACAUGCUAGCUUGAUUGACAGACCAACCAUACAUAUUUAUCUUUCUGAUUUGCAAGUUUAUAUGGUCAAAGCGUAUGAUGUCAAUUAUGCAAUUAAACCCUAAGAAUGCUGCAUUCAACAUUUCAAAUGGCACAAAACAAUAUUAACUGAGAAAGGAAAAGGUUUAUUUAACCUGUCGUUUACUCCUGCAAGCAUCACAUACUCAAAUAAAACUUUGAAAUUCUUUUUGAACUGAAGUUCCUUCCGAAGGGUGUCAAGAAGCAAGCUUAAGUUAUAUUUCCGGUUAAUUGGCAUGAUCCAGUUUCUGACCUGCAUAGAUCAUUGAUUAUUAAUCUAAGAUAAAGUCAAUAACAUGCAAGUGCUUUCCUCAGUGAAUAAAGAUGGGGCUGAAUGUAAAUACACCUCAUCAGUUGUAGCAUUCAGGCUAACAGCUAAAGCACAAUUGGACUCCUGAAGAAAACGUUUCAAUUGGGGGACAAGCCCACUUGUAGAAAUAGUGACCUUGCGAGGACUGAAAUGAAGACCCUGGUCAUGCACCAUAAUAUCUGCAGCUUUAAUGACGUUUUCAAUGUUCUGAAGUGGCUCUCCCAUGCCCUACAAGUACAUAUUUCAACGUCUAUAAUUAAAAACUAAUGGGCUUAUUAAAAAUCUAUUUGAUAUCUGAAGGAGAGUUCUUCCCAUCAUGAAGUAGUAAUCUUUUGCUAGAACAGCACGAUUACAAGAUGCAAAGCAGCUGAAGCGAGAGGGAUAUAAAAACUUACAAGGGCUAGUUGGAUGUAAAUGCCCAUAGGUAAUAUACAUACAAUCCAAAUUAGCAUAGUCCAAUGGCUGAACAAGAAUUCCAACCAAAGAAUGAGGAAUAACAUGCGUGCUUAAUUGCACACAUCAUGUGUGUGUUUCUCUCCAUGAGCACAAGAUAUAUAGCAACAAUAAAAUGAAUGAAAUCCUCACUUUCCCCUUUUCUUUUGUUGGUAAAUAUUUAAAUCCCUCAUAGAUAGAUUGCAAUAAAAGACUGAGCCAGAUCUAAUUUUGUCUAAACAAUUUGGAAAAACUUGUGUAAACUGAAAAUCUAUCUUGAUUAUGUACUUACCAUAAAUACAACAUUUGUGAUGGAGCCAACUUCACUUGCAACAAGUCGUUGUGCAAAUACAACCUGGUCUACAAUCUCUGCCGUGGUCAGAUGUCUCUUCAAACCCAUCCUGCCAGUGUAGCAGAACUGACAAUUCAUUGCACACCCCACUUGACUUGAAACACAAACUGUUGUUCUACCUCUAUCACAAGGUAUGAUAACCGUCUCUAUUACCAGUUGAUCAUCCAACCUAAAUAAAAU
rnacentral:misc_RNA from 1 species